rnacentral:lncRNA from 1 species
AAAUAGAUCCUUCCUGAGAAGAUGAUCUAUCAGCUGCCUCAGUCUGCCAGCUCCAAAGAUACAACUUCCCCUCCCCCAUUCUGAGGGGGCCAGAAAAGAGAAGAGGUAGUUUCAGUAGUUCAGUUGCAGUUACAUUUCAAGUGGAAUAACUGACUUGAACAAUGCAUUGUUCUGAAAGAAGCAUUUACUCACUCAACACAAGCUCUGUGGUGUUUUGUCUUCAACCAACAGUAUCCGGAUUUUAAGCCCUUUACAUUCAUUCAAUUAAAUUGUCACUCCGGGGGAAAAACAAAACAACAACAACAAAAACAGAAACAAAAAGCACUCCUUUGUGCAGUGGUUGAAACUGCAGAGUUCUUCAGACCUGGGAAUUUAUA